rnacentral:rRNA from 1 species
GACAGAGGGGGCAAGCGUUGCUCGGAAUUACUGGGCGUAAAGGGCGCGUAGGCGGAAUGGCAAGUCGGUCGUGAAAUCCUUCGGCUCAACCGAAGAACGUCGAUCGAAACUGCCGUUCUUGAGGAUUGCAGAGGAGACUGGAAUUCCCGGUGUAGCGGUGAAAUGUGUAGAGAUCGGGAGGAACACCGGUGGCGAAGGCGGCAUCCUGGACCAACACUGACGCUGAUGAGCGAAAGCCAGGGGAGCAAACGGG